rnacentral:rRNA from 1 species
UGGGGAAUAUUGCACAAUGGGCGAAAGCCUGAUGCAGCGACGCCGCGUGAGGGAUGACGGCCUUCGGGUUGUAAACCUCUUUCAGCAGGGACGAAGCGCAAGUGACGGUACCUGCAGAAGAAGCACCGGCUAACUACGUGCCAGCAGCCGCGGUAAUACGUAGGGUGCAAGCGUUGUCCGGAAUUACUGGGCGUAAAGAGUUCGUAGGCGGUUUGUCGCGUCGUUUGUGAAAACCAGCAGCUCAACUGCUGGCUUGCAGGCGAUACGGGCAGACUUGAGUACUGCAGGGGAGACUGGAAUUCCUGGUGUAGCGGUGAAAAUGCGCAGAUAUCAGGAGGAACACCGGUGGCGAAGGCGGGUCUCUGGGGCAGUAACUGACGCUGAGGAACGAAAAGCGUGGGUAGCGAACAGGAUUAGAUACCCGUGGUAGUCCACGCCGUAAAACGGUGGGCGCUAGGUGUGGGUUCCUUCCACGGAAUCCGUGCCGUAGCUAACGCA